UACGUAGGGUGCAGGCGUUAAUCGGAAUUACUGGGCGUAAAGCGUGCGCAGGCGGUUUCUUAAGUCAGAUGCGAAAGCCCCGGGCUUAACCUGGGAACUGCGUUUGAAACUGGGAGACUUGAGUGUGGCAGAGGGGGGUGGAAUUCCACGUGUAGCAGUGAAAUGCGUAGAUAUGUGGAGGAACACCAAUGGCGAAGGCAGCCCCCUGGGCCAACACUGACGCUCAUGCACGAAAGCGUGGGGAGCAAACAGG
rnacentral:rRNA from 1 species